UACGUAGGGUGCGAGCGUUGUCCGGAAUUAUUGGGCGUAAAGAGCUUGUAGGCGGUUUGUCGCGUCUGCUGUGAAAAUCCGGGGCUCAACCCCGGACUUGCAGUGGGUACGGGCAGACUGGAGUGUGGUAGGGGAGACUGGAAUUCCUGGUGUAGCGGUGGAAUGCGCAGAUAUCAGGAGGAACACCGAUGGCGAAGGCAGGUCUCUGGGCCUGUCCUGACGCUCAGGCGCGAAAGCUAGGGGAGCAAACAGG
rnacentral:rRNA from 1 species